rnacentral:rRNA from 1 species
AACGAACGCUGGCGGCAGGCUUAACACAUGCAAGUCGAGCGCCCCGCAAGGGGAGCGGCAGACGGGUGAGUAACGCGUGGGAAUCUACCCAUCUCUACGGAAUAACGCAUGGAAACGUGUGCUAAUACCGUAUACGUCCUUCGGGAGAAAGAUUUAUCGGAGAUGGAUGAGCCCGCGUUGGAUUAGCUAGUUGGUGGGGUAAAGGCCUACCAAGGCGACGAUCCAUAGCUGGUCUGAGAGGAGGAUCAGCCACACUGGGACCGAGACGCGGCCCAGGCUCCUACGGGAGGGAGCAGUGGGGAAUAUUGGACAAUGGGCGCAAGCCUGAUCGAGCCAUGCCGCGUGAGUGAUAAAGGCCCUAGGGUUGUAAAGCUCUUUCACCGGGGAAGAUAAUGGCGGUAACCGGAGAAGAAGCCCCGGCUAACUUCGUGCCAGCCGCCGCCGUAACAC